rnacentral:rRNA from 1 species
UAAUAGUGUAUAUUAAAGUUGUUGCAGUUAAAAAGCUCGUAGUUGAAUGUUGGUGUCGAACGAGCGGUCAGCUUCGGCUGUACUGCUCUCUCGACUCCUUCCUUCUGUGGACUACGUCGCACUUUACUGUGUGGCGCUAGGACGCAGAUCGUUUACUGUGAAAAAAUUAGAGUGUUCAAAGCAGGCCGUACGCUUGAAUACAUUAGCAUGGAAUAAUGGAAUAGGACGUCGGGCCUAUUUUAUUGGUUCUAGGACCGUCGUAAUGAUUAAUAGGGACAGUUGGGGCCGUUUAUAUUCCGUAGUCAGAGGUGAAAUUCUUGGAUUUACGGAAGAUAAACUACUGCGAAAGCAUUCGGCAAGGAUGUUUNCGUUAA